rnacentral:lncRNA from 1 species
UCCAACCGUCUCCCUACCCCUUGCAGACGUGCCGGGCGUUCCCGACCCGGGGGUUCCUCCAAGCUGACCCUCUGUACUUUUCUUUGUGUGUUGGCGUUUUGCCAAGUUGUAUGGGUCUCGGCCCUAAACAAUGAAAUUUGAGAUAAAAAUUUAAGAACCGUUCACUUUCGUCCUUCUUCUUUCUAACUCUUGGUAGCGUCUCGCUGACUCCCGACUCUUGAAAUUCUUCUGGCACUAGGCCAGGUAUCUGAGGGUUAGGCCUCAGGAAAUUCUUCCGGCACUAAGCCAGGCAUCCGAGGGUUAGGCCUCAGGAAAUUCUUCCGGCACUAAGCCAGGC